rnacentral:rRNA from 1 species
AUUGAACGCUGGCGGCAGGCCUCACACAUGCAAGUCGAACGAGUGGCGGACGGGUGAGUACUGUAUUGGAACCUGCCCGAUGGAGGGGGCUAACUACUGGAACCGGUAGCUAAUACCGCAUCCCAUGGGCUGUGCCCAGCUGGGAUUAGCUAGUAGGUGGGGUAACGGCUCACCUAGGCGACGAUCCCUCGCUGGUCUGAGAGGAUGACCAGCCACACUGGAACUGAGACACGGGCCAGACGCCUACGGGAGGCAGCAGUGGGGAAUAUUGGACAAUGGGCGAAAGCCUGAUGCAGCCAUGCCGCGUGUAUGAAGAAGGCCUUCGGGUUGUAAAGUACUUUCAGCGAGGAGGCGGUACCCGCAGAAGAAGCACCGGCUAACUCCGUGCCAGCAGCCGCGGUAAUUC